rnacentral:rRNA from 1 species
UACGUAGGGGGCAAGCGUUGUCCGGAAUCAUUGGGCGUAAAGCGCGUGUAGGCGGUUCAGUAAGUCUGCUGUGAAAGUCCAGGGCUCAACCCUGGGAUGCCGGUGGAUACUGCUGGGCUAGAGUACGGAAGAGGCGAGUGGAAUUCCCGGUGUAGCGGUGAAAUGCGCAGAUAUCGGGAGGAACACCUAUUGCGAAGGCAGCUCGCUGGGACGUUACUGACGCUGAGACGCGAAAGCGUGGGGAGGCAAACAGG